AUGGGGCGGAGCCAGCAGAGUCCACUUCAGACAGCUGCUAUGUCGGUUCUGGUCCUGUUACUGACUAUGAUGACUCUGAUGGUGAUGAAGAGCGAAGCUGCCUUGGCCCAGAUCGUCACAGUCUCUGAAAAUAGCGCCGAGACCAUCCUGAAUCCCCUGGGCCUGCAGAUGGGGACAAAGGAGCAUGAGUGGGACGUCAGGUGGAAUCACAAUAAACAGUUGUUGUCCCUGAAGACAAACAACACCAAGUGUCACCAUGGGCGCUGUGAGCUGCUGAGAAACGGAUCGCUGAGAUUCAGCAGGGUCCAGACCGAAGACGCUGGAAACUACAGCAUGGAGGUGUUUUUUGAAAACGGGACUCGACUGAUUAGGAGAGACUUCGUGCUCCGGGUGCAGGCUGCAGGUACCAGUGUGGGGGUGUCGAUGUCUGUCUCCUGCCUCCUCCUGUUUCUGCUCCUGGUCAUCAUCAUCAUCAUCUUCAUGCUGAGGAGAAGGAGGAUGAAGAUGACAAAUACGUCAGGUCAAGUGGAGGAAAAUGUUUACGUUAGGAUGCACAGUUGCCACGGCAAAGAGGGGACCGAUUAUGAUGAUGAGACGAGGCAGGGCAAAGAGGAGGAGUCUGCUUACGUCUCCUGUCAUCCGGCUGUUUCCACAAAAACACCAAUCACAAAGAAGGCGUCAGCAGAAGGUGACGACAUCUACGUGUGACGGCCAAUCAGAGCUCAUCUGGAGACUAAAACUUGUGUUUUUUAUUUGUUUCCCCUUUAUCAAUUUAUGUAACUUAAUAAAAACCUCAGUGCCUGUGAAUGAAUCACAAAGUCUGACAAUUCUUACACAGCUGAACUGGGUUUGUGGACCAGUUACUGAGGUGUGGGAGCCGCUUGCAGCAGCAGCAGCAACACGGAAUGACACCCGAUCACUUUUUACCUGAGGAGAAAGAACCUUCCCACAAUCUAACUGAAGUCCCUUUUCUCUUUCUUUCCAUUUCUGGACACUGAUGAAACAGAUAACAAUCGACCUUUUCGGGAGCAGCAGUUGUUAGUGAAGAUAAAAAAGCAGUUGAACGUCGGUUUGAACACCUGCAGAAGUAAAACAGGGAAAUUCACCCAUGUUGCACCUGUUGUCACCUCUCCACUGGCUCCCUGUUGGGUUUAGGAUUGAUUUUAUGACCUGCAAAGCUCUAUUUUUAUCAAACUGCCUUUCUGCCUUCUGUGAGAUACUUAAUUUGGUUUCAGUUGUUUAGUUUAUCUAUUAAUUUACUCAUUUAAUGUGUUUUAUGCUUUUUCUCAUUGUACAGCACAUUGUACUUUGUUUGAACAGUGCUUAAUAAAUAAGGUUUAUUGUGUUUUUCAUGUAUUAUUAUUCUAAUUAUUAAUCAUUGUCCUGAUGCUCAUACUUGGACCACCUCACUCUCCACUUGUCGGCACCCCAAUUAUGGAUCAGUUUCACCUGUGUUCCCUUUCCUUUAAAAGCUCCCCUCAGUCCUCUGUUUGUGACACACGGAUUGUACACAGUUGCUGUAGUUCGCAAAAUAUGGGCAGAAGAGACAGUAAUAGAAUUUUACUAAGAAGGUUGUAUUUACAGAUUUAGAAAUGUCCUGACUACUGGUUCACAUCCUCUUAUCAAGAGGUUUGUCACAGCAGAGUCCUUUGUUUCCUUUUCCUUUUUUCUGGAUCCGACUGUUGUGGUGUUGAUGUCAUAUCAGUUCAAAUUUUCAGGUCCAGGUGUUCUGGACUCAAAAUGUUUCCCCUUUUCUCCUUAAGGACCACAAACUGUGAAUGUUCUGUCAUGUUCCUUACAACUGGCCCAACCCAAGUCUGAGAGUCACUGCAUCUUUUCCUCAAGGUCCGGUUGAACGAUCCAAUCUGGUUUGUGCAGGGUCCAGCAGAGUUUCUGAGCAUCAGAGAGACCUGGGUCUCUAAAGCGCGAUACAGCUGUUUGACUUUCUCCACCUCCGGUCGAACAUCACUCAGCUUCUUCUCGUACUUGACUCCACAGUUUUUAAUUUUUUCCUCCAUUUUCUGAGGUCCUGCUCUCUGAUGAUCCAUCAUCUACACCUUCUCCAGCAGGUCCAAGACCUAAUCGUGAUCAUCAUCUUAACAGUUUUUUAAAGACUUGGUACCUUGUUACCGCCUCCAUCACUUGAUCAAAGUCUGACUUGACUUUGUCUCCAAGGGUGAAGAGGAUAAUAGUGUAUUUCCAGAUCCAAGUGGGGCAGUAGCAGUUCAGGUUCCUCCAGUCCACAUGUCAGCGUGCUCCUGUGUGUGUCUCUGCAGUUGUAUGUGGCUCUUGUAGACUUGUAGAUGACUUUUGUAGAGAUGAAGGUGUGUUCAGACAGGAUGUUGAUCCAUGCUUUUCCUCUUCCUCAGUUGUGUUCAGAGUUCAAAUACAGACAAAUAUAAACGAAAGCAAAAAAAACAGUUUUAGCCAGAACCAGUUUUCAGUUUUUAGUUGCUAUUGUUAACCGUUCCAGCCUCCAAGCCGUGGUCUGGAAGCACAGGGUGUUACAGUUCCUCUCUUCGUCCCUGUUCAGAUGGUUUUGGUUUUCCAGUCUUCCAGCACAUAACAGUUACAUUUAGUCCUUUAUCAGACGCUUUUAUCCAAAGCGACUUACAAGUGAGGAACAAGGCAAGCAAACAAAAUCUUAAGUCAAAGAGAAAAAACAUCAAAGCAAAGUGCUAUCAAAAAAGUGUUUCUGUUUCAAGAGAUGUGAUCUCAGAUCAGAUCAGAGCUGGUCUCCACCUGUGGUCGGAGAGUCUGUGUUUGACAACAGAGGGAGAGCAAGCAGACGACAAGUUAAAUCCAUUAGAUGCAGCACUGCACCUCGGACGCGUUCAGUAUGGAUUUCGGAAUAGAGUUUGUACAAAGUUAUGUUGUCGGUGGGGCAGAUCUAGACAGGAUCAGAUGGAAAAACUGCAGCCAGGGCUCAGGGACCAGUGAAGAGACAUCUUCCUCAGUCUGAAUGAUUCCUGGUGCUGCAGAGUCCAGCUAAGAGGACAACGAGCUGCACAAUCAAAAAUGAUCCAACUGCAGCAGCACAGCUCAAAUUGAUCAGAACUCGUCACCACUGUUCUGUUCUCAUGUUCAAAUCAGGUUCAGAGCUUGGCCCUCACUUCACAGCACCUUUCUUAACUGAACAUUACCAAAUCAAUCAGAACAACGGUGUUGUCAUGAUUGGGCUGUCAGAACGGGACCUCACGCUCCCUCAUCUCC
rnacentral:lncRNA from 1 species